rnacentral:rRNA from 1 species
AGAGCAUACGGUGGAUGCCUUGGCGAUAUCUGCCGACGAAGGACGCGACAAGCUGCGAAAAGCUGCGGAGAGGCGCAAAUAGCCAUAGACCCGCAGAUAUCCGAAUGGAGCAAUCCGGCUGCGGUCAUGCGCAGUCAUCCAUGUCAUAGAACAUGAGAAGGGAACCCGGCGAACUGAAACAUCUAAGUAGCCGGAGGAAAAGAAAUCAACCGAGAUACCCCAAGUAGCGGCGAGCGAACGGGGCAGACGCCCAAACCGGAGAAGGAAACUUCCUCGGGGUUGCGGACUGUCAACAAUCAAUGAAAGUUAGCUGAACCUGUUGGGAAACAGGGCCGAAGACAGUGAGAGCCUGGUAAGCGAAAACAGACAUUGAGGGACAGGAUCCAGAGUACCGCGGGACACGAGAAACCCCGUGGGAAACAGGGGGGACCACCCUCCAAGGCAAAACACAGAUAUCGACCGAUAGCGCAUAGUACCAUGAGGGAAAGGUGAAAAGCACCCCGGGAGGGGAGUGAAAGAGUACCUGAAACCGUAUGUUUACAAACAGUCGGAGACCGUAUAUAUACCAGGUCGACGGCGUGCCUAUUGAAGAAUGAGCCAGCGAGUUACGAGGUCCGGCGAGGUUAAGCAGGAAAUGCGGAGCCGAAGCGAAAGCGAGUCUGAACAGGGCGCGAGUCGGAUUGCGUAGACCCGAAACCACAGUGAUCUACCCAUGUCCAGGUUGAAGCACAGGUAAAAAUGUGUGGAGGACCGAACCUAUAUCUGUUGAAAAAGGUUAGGAUGAGGUGUGGGUAGGGGUGAAAUUCCAAUCGAACGUGGAGAUAGCUGGUUCUCCCCGAAAUAGCUUUAGGGCUAGCCUCAGGGUGAGAUUGCAGGCGGUAGAGCACUGAUCAGGAGCGGGACCUGCCCGGUUACCAAACCCAGUCAAACUACGAAUGGCUGCAAUUAUACCUGGGAGUCAGACUACGAGCGAUAAGACCCGUGGUCAAAAGGGAAACAGCCCAGAUCAUCAGCUAAGGUCCCAAAUGCCGUGCUAAGUGGCGAAGGAUGUGGCAUUUCAUAAACAACCAGGAUGUUGGCUCAGAAGCAGCCACACAUUUAAAGAGUGCGUAAUAGCUCACUGGUCGAGAGACGCUGCGCCGAAAAUGUCCGGGGCUCAAGCACGGAACCGAAGCUAUGGCAUUGCUUAAGCAAUGGGUAGGGGAGCGUUCUUAUUGGGGAAAAGCGGUACCGUAAGGAGCCGUGGACCGAUAAGAAGUGAGAAUGCUGGCAUGAGUAUCGAAAAGAAAGGUGAGAAUCCUUUCCACCGAAAGCCCGAGGGUUCCUGAGCAACGAUCGUCGUCUCAGGGUAAGUCGGGACCUAAGCCGAGGCGGAGAAGCGUAGGCGAUGGACAACAGGUUGAAAUUCCUGUACUGCUUUAUGUCGUUUGAGUGAUGGAGUGACGCAGGAGGGCACAUGAUCGCGCGAUUGGAAGAGCGCGUCCAAGCGAGUAGUUUGAAUAUGAGUCAAAUGCCAUAUUCUGAAAGACGAGACGUGACGGGGAAUUAGAGGAAACUCUGAGGAACUCAUGGAUCCCACACUGCCGAGAAAAGCUUCUAGCGAGACAUAAGGCACCCGUACCGUAAACCGACACAGGUAGGCGGGGAGAGAAUCCUAAGGUGCGCGGGAAAACCCUCGUUAAGGAACUCGGCAAAUUGCAUCCGUAACUUCGGGAAAAGGAUGGCCCUGAGUAGGCGAAGGACAGAAACGUCCGGAACCGGAAAGGGCGGCAGAAAAGAGGCCCAAGCAACUGUUUACCAAAAACACAGGUGCCUGCGAAAGCGAAAGCUGAAGUAUAGGUGCUGACGCCUGCCCGGUGCUGGAAGGUUAAGGAGAGAUGUCAGCUUAGGCGAAGCAUUGAACUGAAGCCCCAGUGAACGGCGGCCGUAACUAUAACGGUCCUAAGGUAGCGAAAUUCCUUGUCGGGCAAGUUCCGACCCGCAUGAAAGGCGUAAUGAUUUGGGCACUGUCUCAACGAGGGGCCCGGUGAAAUUGAAAUACCUGUGAAGAUGCAGGUUACCCGCGACUGGACAGAAAGACCCCAUGGAGCUUUACUGCAGCUUGAGACGGAAUUCCGGUGACAGAUGCACAGGAUAGGUGGGAGGCUUUGAAGGCAGGACUUUGGUCUUGCUGGAGCCGCUGUUGGGAUACCACCCUUCUGCUGCUGGAAUUCUAACGCGAAGAGUAACGACCUUGCGGACAAUCUCAGGCAGGCGGUUUGACUGGGGCGGUCGCCUCCGAAAGAGUAACG